rnacentral:rRNA from 1 species
AUGCCCUACUGCAGGAUGAUAAGAGGUACAGGCAGGGGUGCCCAUUUGAAUCUCAAGCAUGCAGAGAAAGCAGGGGUACUUGUUCAAAAGAUUCCAACUAUGAUUGACAACUUGAUAGACAAGACAUUUGCCUGGGAGGAUGAAAGCAAUACACCAUUUCUUUAUGACGUGGUUCACAUGGUUGCCAUUUUGGAAGAGCAAAAACUCAGGAGAGUACAGAAAGAGGAAGAUAAGCGACAAUACCGGAUAUAA